rnacentral:rRNA from 1 species
GUCGAACGCUGGCGGCGUGCUUAACACAUGCAAGUCGAACGGAAAGGCCCUGCUUUUGUGGGGUGCUCGAGUGGCGAACGGGUGAGUAACACGUGAGUAACCUGCCCUUGACUUUGGGAUAACUUCAGGAAACUGGGGCUAAUACCGGAUAGGAGCUCCUGCUGCAUGGUGGGGGUUGGAAAGUUUCGGCGGUUGGGGAUGGACUCGCGGCUUAUCAGCUUGUUGGUGGGGUAGUGGCUUACCAAGGCUUUGACGGGUAGCCGGCCUGAGAGGGUGACCGGCCACAUUGAGACUGAGAUACGGCCCAGACUCCUACGGGAGGCAGCAGUGGGGAAUAUUGCACGAUAGGCGGAAGCCUGAUGCAGCAACGCCGCGUGCGGGAUGACGGCCUUCGGGUUGUAAACCGCUUUCGCCUGUGACGAAGCGUGAGUGACGGUAAUGGGUAAAGAAGCACCGGCUAACUACGUG